ACCUGAAAGAAAACAAACAGCGAGCAGAUGCUGAUUUCCUCACUUAACUGCACAUAUUUUAUAGUAAUUCUCUCUGAUUUUCUCCCAAGACACCCACCUGACCUUCGUUUCUCUCCAGUCUCUCCUAGUAGUGGCCAAAUGUUGCUAAUCGUGUAAGAUUCAGCUCAUGGAAAUAGGUUGCAACUAAGAGAAAUUUACCCUUUGACCUUAAUGCCUUUGCAUGCACAAUAGAGACCAAGACAAGUCUUUGCUAAAAGGAAUGCAUUUUUCUUGGCAAAACCUGAUUCUUAGACCAAACCAAAUUAAUGCUGUGAAGAGAAUUCAUUUUUGCUGUUUCACAAAAGCAACACAAAAACAAUAAUUCAGUGAUUUGAGAAUGAAGAAUGGCAAAACACAUUUUCCAAGAAUUUUCAAGGAACUAAAAAUGGAUCAUAAAUAUCAUCAUAAGUAUUUUUGCUUCUCUCUACAUAACCGAGAGUGAUUUCCAAGCAUGAAUUAAUUUAGAAUUAAUGCACUGUGAUGAAGCAGGGAUUAGUUAGCCCAGAAUUUUUCGGAGUUGUCCGUAGACAAUUUAGUUGGGAGAGCAUCUCCACAGCGCAUCCUUUUCCAUUUCUGGUGGGAGCUGAAAAAUCUCUAUGGUAACUAAAACAAUAAUCUACAGAGGAAAAAAGAGAAAGUUUGGAAAACUGUUGAAAUGAAUUUCAGCUGCCUUUGUGAUCUGAAAAUAAAGAGGAGGCUCCACAUCAUCCAAGCAGUCAGUUUUUCGUGCAUCACCAAGUCCUUUGCAGGGCAUCACUCAGCCAUGACCGGUUCAGGCACAUUUUUAGCUGGACGGGCUGAGAUGCAGUGAGCUGAAGUGAAGUGUCUUGCUCACACACCAAAUCUGUUGCAAGACCUGGGAACAGAACUUCCUUGCUUUUCCCAUCCACAAAGAGCAAAGCUUAUAUUUUUCAGUCUAGAUUACUAUUUUCUUUUUUGGAUUAAGGAAAACAAAUGUGAGAGAGAAAGAAAACUGGUGACUCAUUGCAGUUUCUUUGCUGAAACACAGCUGCCCUUGUCACAGGAACAUGAUUCUUAGAGCCUGCAUCCAAAAUUUAUUGCAAAAUAAAACUGGAACUUUUAAAAACAACCAGGCUAAAUGAUGUUUCUAAUUCUCUUUUAAUACGUAUUUGUGAGUGCAGGUCCAGGCUCCAGCCAGGAUCAAGGGUAGGGCUGGAAACUCAAGAGGAACUAAGUUCUUGUGAAAUGUUCAGGCAGAUUUUGCAAACCCACACAGACUGCAUUGGCUGGACAAGCUGCAGAAUUAAAUAUGUGUUUUUUAAAGCUGUGAUGCUUCUGGACCUUCUGGGAUUCCUUCAGUGACAGGUCAAUAUAAUAGCACCCACACCACCACCCAAAGACACCGAUGAAACAGCAGCCUUUCCAGAGCCAGAAAGGAGCCAAGAACAGCCCAGCUGUUGGCACGGCAGCAUUCCCAGGAGCGCCAGCGCCUUGGCUCUCGGCUCACGGAUGUGGCUGCUCCAAAUCGCUCCAUCUCCUCCUGCACAGGCAGCAGGGAGCAGCUCCUGGCUGGCAGUGCCUGCUGUCAGCAGACGUCCUCGCAGAGCUGAGGAAGCUGUGAUUGAGGAAUUACAGCAGUCAGCGUGGUGCUCCUGAUCCUCCCAGACCAAAGCAGCGCCCCAGAAAGGGUUUCUGCUUUGCUGCAGGACUCGCUGGUGUGCUGCUGCUGGGAGACCCACCGGUACCAUGGAGGUUCUGAGCACUGCCCUGGGGUGCUAAAGAGCUGCUGUUACUUCCAGUGGCAAUUUAACCCAUGCGUAUGAGUUACAUUACAACAGGAUGGAUUUAUUUUAUGUAGGCAGCUACAAGCAGGCACCAAAUACCACGAAGCUCCUUCCAUCCGCAAAAGUGUAAGCUUUGCAUCAAAACACUGACGUCUGCUUCUUCUUCGUUGAAACUCUUCUUUCUCUAAGAUUAAUACAUCUUCAUCAUGUUGGCUCCUCACCUUGCUUCAGACAGGCAAUGGAGGGCACCAGCCUGGCCAUGCCUCGUGUUCCCAUGUACCUGCCUGGCUACCCUCCUGUGUUUCACAGAGCACACACCAGCUUUGCCUUGUUAAUUGAUUAGUAACCUAAUUGUACCAAUUCGGCAUAAUCCCCGGUAAGCAUAAUUGACUUAUGUGGAGCAAACGCAACAAAAAAAGGGUGUAUUUCCAUAUACUUCUUCUGUAUUAUGUCGCUGUUACAUUAAGCCAGCAAACUUUCAACCUCCUCAAUAUUCAGUAAAUUUAAGAAAAUGAAUUGAAGAUACUUGCUUAUUUUAAUAUGUACUCCUGAAGACAUUUUCCAAUUCUUUUUAUGGUUUAAUUAAAGCCUUAUGGCAAUGGUAUGCUUCUUUCUACCUACUAUGCCAGUGGUUAAAAAUUACAAGGCUUCAAGUACCCUGCAUGCCUUUAAUUGCUCUGCUGAAGAUAAAAGAACAGCAAUAUUUUUAUCACAACCAUUACAGCAGGCAAAAUUAAAAAUGCCCCUUACUCAUGUGAGCAGAGCAAGUCCAUAUCUCCCACACUGCCCCUGCCCCAUGCCUGCAUCCCACCGCCCCACUGGUGUCCGCACUUUAACUCCAUUUCACAGCCUGUUUAGGGGAGCAUUUUGUUCUGCUGCAUGCCCCAAUGAGCAGAAGAACUUCCCCACCCCAUUUCUUAACAUUAAAGCAGAAUAAAGUGUAGAAAUCUCUAAAUUAAGAAAGUACUUGAAGAGUACAUUCAGCACAGGACAAUGCAGAGGAAGGUUACAAGUAUAUUAGGAUGAGGGCACCACAAUUAUAUGAAGAAGUCUGGAGAGAAAAGAUUACAUUGUUCUGACAACAACAUUUUUCAAACAUUUAGACCUUUAAUAUCAUUAAUUUAAAGUACAAGAUUAAAUAUUUUAUGCAAAUAUUAGACAACAGCAAAGAGCUCCGCAUAUUAGGAUUUAAAACAAAUUGAAAGCAUGCAAGACAUAUUCAUUUCUUAAGCAGUUUAGUUAAAAAAUCGGUAUUGUCUCUAUUAGGAUUAACUGACAGUAACUCUUUGUGUUCAAAUGGAUUUAACUUCACUGUGGUUUGUUUUCCAGAUAUCAUUGUCCUCCAAUAAUCGUGGAUAAAGGGAAAUGUAAAAGGACAGAUCAAGUAAAAAAUAUAUCUUCACAUCAUAAACACAGAAUUAUGUUUAAAUUUCAUUACUAAAUGGGAUUUCAGCUUCAUAUACCAUGCCUAAUCCCACACUAUAAAAGAUGUAUAAAACCUCCUGACAAAUUCUAACAGACUUUGUGGAAGUUGCAUAUAUUGAUUAAAACAUCAAGCAGUUACAUACAAACCAAUAAUGAAUUACUUCUUGUUGGAAGAUAAAACUUUGUGAUAUUUAAAAUUACAGACUUGAAAGUAAGUAAAAUUACCCCUAAUUAUGCAGAAGGGAGCAACACCUUAGCAGUAAACAAGAUAAGCACCUCAAACAGCACUAAUAAUUUUAAUUAACAUUUCCUAGUUUCCUUUCACCUCCUCUCAAGGUCAUCUGCUACCUUUUCCUUGUGCAACAUUACAGCACGGUGUUAAAAACUUACAUUCCAUUACUAAUCACUUUGAUAAGCCAAAGAAAAAAAUACUUUCCAGGAAAGAUUUUUAUUUUAAAUCACUUAAUUGUGUGCGAAAACAAAUAUUGCAUUGGGUAAAGCUGUCGAGAAAGCUUUUGCAGUGAAUUGCUAUCAGACAUCAGAUUCCAACAGCUGGGAUUCGGUCGCUCAUUUGGGGCCUGAUUCUGCACACCAGAGGCAAAAUUCCUCUGGGAGCUCUGCAGAAACCCAUUCAUAUUUCAGGUAUAAAUUUAAACAUUUGGAUUAUACCCAAACUGUUGAAUAUUCAGAUCGUAAUCAAAGUUCAAAAGACUCCUAAAGUGUGAACACUGAAAGGGAAAAUUUGGCAAAAUGUGAUAAUCUACACAGUAUUUCUGUUAUUUUUUUUCCUUGAGCACCAAUUAAUAAAUGUACAUUCAAGAUUUAU